rnacentral:lncRNA from 1 species
GGAAAAAAGCUUUUUGAUUGGUCAACCAUGGCCAGCGAAAGCAGAAUCGGAUCCGAUGGUUUGUUUAACGCCGCGGAGGUGACGACAAGCGGCAGACCGGUGCUCCGCCGCAACGAAGUCGAGUGCUUCCUCCUAUCCUCCGUCGACCUAGACUCCGAAGACGAUCCUCCUCGAUUCGCCUCCUUGCGCUCCGGAAACCUAAUCUUAACCACUCACCGUCUCAUAUGGAUCCCUUCUUCUCAGCCAAACGCCUCUCUUCCUUCCUCCCUCCCUCUCUCCUCCAUCACUCACAUCUUCUCCCACAAGAAGUCAAUCAAGUCCAUGUUCCACUCGCCUCGGAUCCGGUUCCAAGUGGACUCCGUCGUCGUUGUGACCGUCGUCUUCAGGGGGAAAGGGGAUUUCGACGGGUUCUUGGCCAAGCUCUGGGAGUGCUGGAGGGGCAGAGCUUGGGAGGAAGAUGAGAAGAGCGAGAGUGAGGCUUCUUCGGGGUCAGGAGCUGGAACUGUUGCGCAGGGUUUAUACGGAAACGAUGGAACGGUGAGGAUGGUGGGGUUAGCUGGGAUACUGAGGAAAGAGCAGGAGCAGUGGGAGAGUACUGAUAAGAGCUUGCAGGAUGCUUUUCAGGAUUUGAAUGCUCUUAUGGUGAUACAAAGUUUGAAACUUUUAUUGAUUAUUUUGAUUGGUUGUUGUUUGAAUUUGAAUUUUUUUUAUCUCUCUUUGUUGGGGUUUAAUAGAGUAAGGCUAAGGAGAUGGUGAGUCUGGCGGAGAAGAUGCGGCAGAAGCUUUUGUCUGCUCCUAGUAGUCAGAACGGAGGAGGUGAUGAUGAGGAGAUGGGGUCUAAAGAAGAAAUGCAACAAUGGAUGUUGAGCGUUGGUAUUAUCUCUCCAGUUACUAAGGAAUCUGCUGGCGCCUUGUACCAUCAAGAGUUGUCUCGCCAGGUUCUCUUCCUCUUAUCUUUGCACUGUCAUUAUCAUUAGCUUUGUUACUAAUGGUUGAAAUCCUUAUUUGUAUGCCUGCAGCUGGCAGAUUUUGUGAGAAUCCCAUUAGAACAAGCUGGAGGGAUGAUCAGCCUUACUGAUAUGUAUUACCACUUCAAUCGUGCUAGGGGAACAGGUUGGACUUUUUGCAAUCUAUAACGUUUUACUUCCAAGUUCUUUAUUCUGUUAGUCUGUGAAUGUGAAACCUUUCUUUGCAUCAGAGUUGAUCUCUCCGGACGAUUUGUGGCAAGCUUGUAACCUCUGGGAGAAAUUUGAUGUGUAUGUGUAUCUUCUGAGUCUUUCCUCGUAGAUUCUUUUUGCAAAUUCAUUUGAAGAAGAUAUAGUCUGUAGAAAUAUUGACUCUGGCUCAUGUGUUAUGAUUGGUAGUCCAGUAAUGCUGCGGAAGUUUGAUAGCGGGUUUGUUUAACGCCGCGGAGGUGACGACAAGCGGCAGACCGGUGCUCCGCCGCAACGAAGUCGAGUGCUUCCUCCUAUCCUCCGUCGACCUAGACUCCGAAGACGAUCCUCCUCGAUUCGCCUCCUUGCGCUCCGGAAACCUAAUCUUAACCACUCACCGUCUCAUAUGGAUCCCUUCUUCUCAGCCAAACGCCUCUCUUCCUUCCUCCCUCCCUCUCUCCUCCAUCACUCACAUCUUCUCCCACAAGAAGUCAAUCAAGUCCAUGUUCCACUCGCCUCGGAUCCGGUUC